rnacentral:rRNA from 1 species
UACGAAGGGGGCUAGCGUUGCUCGGAUCACUGGGCGUAAAGCGCACGUAGGCGGCUUUCUAAGUCAGGGGUGAAAUCCUGGAGCUCAACUCCAGAACUGCCUUUGAUACUGGAGAGCUUGAGUCCGGAAGAGGUGAGUGGAACUCCGAGUGUAGAGGUGAAAUUCGUAGAUAUUCGGAAGAACACCGGUGGCGAAGGCGGCUCACUGGUCCGGUACUGACGCUGAUGUGCGAAAGCGUGGGGAGCAAACAGG